GUGGGGAAUAUUGCACAAUGGGGGAAACCCUGAUGCAGCGACGCCGCGUGAGUGAAGAAGUAUUUCGGUAUGUAAAGCUCUAUCAGCAGGGAAGAAAAUGACGGUACCUGACUAAGAAGCCCCGGCUAACUACGUGCCAGCAGCCGCGGUAAUACGUAGGGGGCAAGCGUUAUCCGGAUUUACUGGGUGUAAAGGGAGCGUAGACGGCAAGGCAAGUCUGAAGUGAAAGCCCGGGGCUCAACCGCGGGACUGCUUUGGAAACUGUUUAGCUAGAGUGCAGGAGGGGCAAGAGGAAUUCCUGGUGUAGCGGUGAAAUGCGUAGAUAUCAGGAGGAACACCGGUGGCGAAGGCGUCUUGCUGGACUGUAACUGACGUUGAGGCUCGAAAGCGUGGGGAGCAAACAGG
rnacentral:rRNA from 1 species